UAUUAAAAAUUUCAUUUAUUUAUACUGUUGAAACUGGUGUGUCUAAUGGAAUAAUCAGAUAGUGCCACGUGUACCUCAUGCUAAUAUACAAUGACCAGUUUUUAAUAGUAGAAACGGAUGGAAUUUUUAACU
rfam:Gossypium hirsutum cultivar TM-1 unplaced genomic scaffold scaffold615.1, whole genome shotgun sequence